UGGGGAAUCUUCCGCAAUGGGCGCAAGCCUGACGGAGCAACGCCGCGUGAGUGAAGAAGGUCUUCGGAUCGUAAAGCUCUGUUGACGGGGACGAACGUGCGGAGAGCGAAUAGCUCUUUGCAAUGACGGUACCUGUCGAGGAAGCCACGGCUAACUACGUGCCAGCAGCCGCGGUAAU
rnacentral:rRNA from 1 species